CCUGGGAACUGCAUUUCGAACUGGCAAACUAGAGUGUGAUAGAGGGUGGUAGAAUUUCAGGUGUAGCGGUGAAAUGCGUAGAGAUCUGAAGGAAUACCGAUGGCGAAGGCAGCCACCUGGGUCAACACUGACGCUCAUGUACGAAAGCGUGGGGAGCAAACGGGAUUAGAUACCCCGGUAGUCCACGCCGUAAACGAUGUCUACUAGAAGCUCGGAACCUCGGUUCUGUUUUUCAAAGCUAACGCAUUAAGUAGACCGCCUGGGGAGUACGGCCGCAAGGUUAAAACUCAAAUGAAUUGACGGGGGCCCGCACAAGCGGUGGAGCAUGUGGUUUAAUUCGAUGCAACGCGAAGAACCUUACCUACACUUGACAUACAGAGAACUUACUAGAGAU
rnacentral:rRNA from 1 species